GACGAACGCUGGCGGCGUGCUUAACACAUGCAAGUCGAACGGAAAGGCCCUGCUUUUGUGGGGUGCUCGAGUGGCGAACGGGUGAGUAACACGUGAGUAACCUGCCCUUGACUUUGGGAUAACUUCAGGAAACUGGGGCUAAUAUCGGAUAGGAGCUCCUGCUGCAUGGUGGGGGUUGGAAAGUUUCGGCGGUUGGGGAUGGACUCGCGGCUUAUCAGCUUGUUGGUGGGGUAGUGGCUUACCAAGGCUUUGACGGGUAGCCGGCCUGAGAGGGUGACCGGCCACAUUGGGACUGAGAUACGGACCAGACUCCUACGGGAGGCAGCAGUGGAGAAUAUUGCACAAUGGGCGGAAGCCUGAUGCAGCAACGCCGCGUGCGGGAUGACGGCCUUCGGGUUGUAAACCGCUUUCGCCUGUGACGAAGCGUGAGUGACGGUAAUGGGUAAAGAAGCACCGGCUAACUACGUG
rnacentral:rRNA from 1 species